rnacentral:rRNA from 1 species
CCUACGGGAGGCAGCAGUGAGGAAUAUUGGUCAAUGGACGCAAGUCUGAACCAGCCAUGCCGCGUGCAGGAAGACGGCUCUAUGAGUUGUAAACUGCUUUUGUACGAGGGUAAACGAAGAGACGCGUAUCUGUCUGAAAGUAUCGUACGACUAAGGAUCGGCUAACUCCGUGCCAGCAGCCGCGGUAAUACGGAGGAUUCAAGCGUUAUCCGGAUUUAUUGGGUUUAAAGGGUGGGUAGGCGGUCGGAUAAGUUAGAGGUGAAAUCCCGGGGCUCAACUUCGGAAUUGCCUUUGAUACUGUUCGGCUAGAGAGUAGGUGCGGUAGGCGGAA